ensembl:snoRNA SNORA73 Small nucleolar RNA SNORA73 family
CCAACGUGGGCAUCCCGGGAGGUCACUCUCCCCGGGCCCUGUCCUGGUGGCACAUGGGAGCUGAGGGCUCUGCCCCGUGACGUACAGUCCCCUUCCACGACGUUGGAGAGAAAGCCGGGCCUUCGGGUCUGCGCCUGCAUAUUCCUACAGCUUCCCAGAGUCCAUGGACCGUGACUGGGGAGACAAACCAUGCAGGAAACAGCU